rnacentral:lncRNA from 1 species
GAGCUCCAUAUCUUCAAAGAUACACAGGUGUAACUGACUUAAAGGCUGUUUCCUUGAUGCUACAACUGAUCUUUCUAGCAAUAUCCUCAAUGUAGCCUUACUUUCACAAAGUUUUUUAAAGAAUAUCCUUACAGUGCUGACUCACACACCUUAAAAUUCCCAUCAUAACCAGCCACCACCACCCCAUAUUCAUUGUUUAAAAAUCAAACUUUCCAAACCACCUUUCCUUUGAAAUCCCUCAGCAUCACCAAUGACCUCACCAAAUCCAAUAGCUUUUUCUUAACCCUUACUUUCCAGGGCCUGACUGCUCUGUUCAACAUCAGUGAUUACCACCUCCUUCUCAAAAUACUUUCUUCUCUUGGAUUCCAGGACACUGCAUUUCUCUGACUUCUCUCUUUACAAUUCCUGAGAUAUGUAUUUGUAUAUCUGAAUACCAUCUACUUCUUUUAUAUGAAUGAGUUUUACUAGUAUUGACCACAAUGAAAUAUUUCUUUCUUUAAUAAAAGGAAAUGAGGUGUACAAGAGCUAUGGGAUGCCAAGGGAAAGAGACAAUACACUUUUGGCAAAUUACAUCUUUCUUUGUGUGAUCUCUGUAGGGCACAACCCACUCUGAGGAGCUGGAUGUGUGAUCUAAAUGGAAACAGGGAGAUGUGGAGGAUCUAGGAAAUGUCUGGCCAUCUGGAAAUAUAAAGACAUUAUUCAGCUUAUAAAAGAUUUUCUAGUGCAUAAACUUCUGACCUGUACAUUUCCCACAAGCUUCCUAAGACAUUGCAGGGGAGAUAUUUGUGUAGACUGAAGCUACCUGUAUGCAGUGUUGGAAUGAUAAGGUCAAUCAAUUCUGCAAAGUAAGCUGGUCAGUUCUGAGAGAAGGAAAAUAAUUAAUUUAACAAAUUGAACACAAAUUCCACUCCAGACACUGUGUAAGGUGUCCCACUGACUCAAGAACCAACAGAAGUCAGCCUCUGACCUCAAGGAGCUUAGAGUCCUGGGGUAGGAAAAAAACAUGUACAUAAAUGACUCUAAGUGGUGCUCUGUGGUGUUAAGCCAAGAAGGUAAACUAACCCUUUUUUGUCAAAAAGUCUAUAAAGCACAUUUACUCAAAUAAAGUCAUAACUUUUGUUGGCUGAUUUUAAAGG